rnacentral:rRNA from 1 species
GUCAGGCCUAACACAUGCAAGUCGAGCGGUAACAGGACUAGCUUGCUAGUUGCUGACGAGCGGCGGACGGGUGCGUAACACGUAGGAAUCUGCCCGGUAGUGGGGGAUAGCCCGGAGAAAUCCGGAUUAAUACCGCAUACGCCUUAAGAGGGAAAGCAGGGGACCCGUUUCUUUAUAAGGAGCGAACCUUGCGCUAUCGGAUGAGCCUGCGUCGGAUUAGCUUGUUGGUGGGGUAAAGGCCUACCAAGGCGACGAUCCGUAGCUGGUCUGAGAGGAUGAUCAGCCACACUGGGACUGAGACACGGCCCAGACUCCUACGGGAGGCAGCAGUGGGGAAUAUUACACAAUGGGCGCAAGCCUGAUGCAGCCAUGCCGCGUGAGUGAAGAAGGCCCUAGGGUCGUAAAGCUCUUUCGCCAGGGAUGAUAAUGACAGUACCUGGUAAAGAAACCCCGGCUAACUCCGUGCCAGCAGCCGCGGUAAUACGGAGGGGGUUAGCGUUGUUCGGAAUUACUGGGCGUAAAGCGCACGUAGGCGGACUAUUAAGUCAGGGGUGAAAUCCCGGGGCUCAACCCCGGAACUGCCUUUGAUACUGGUAGUCUUGAGUUCGAGAGAGGUGAGUGGAAUUCCGA